GACGGGGCCGCACAAGCGGUGGAGCAUGUGGUUAAUUCGAAGCAACGCGAAGAACCUUACCAGGUCUUGACAUCCCUGACAACCGAGAGAUCGGGCGUUCCCCUUCGGGGGACAGGGUGACAGGUGGUGCAUGGUUGUCGUCAGCUCGUGUCGUGAGAUGUUGGGUUAAGUCCCGCAACGAGCGCAACCCUCGCCUCUAGUUGCCAGCAUUCGGUUGGGCACUCUAGAGGGACUGCCGGCGACAAGUCGGAGGAAGGUGGGAUGACGUCAAAUCAUCAUGCCCCUUAUGACCUGGGCUACACACGUGCUACAAUGGGCGGUACAAAGGGCUGCGAACCCGCGAGGGGGAGCGAAUCCCAAAAAGCCGCUCUCAGUUCGGAUUGCAGGCUGCAACUCGCCUGCAUGAAGCCGGAAUCGCUAGUAAUCGCGGAUCAGCAUGCCGCGGUGAAUACGUUCCCGGGCCUU
rnacentral:rRNA from 1 species